AGAGUUUGAUCCUGGCUCAGGAUGAACGCUAGCGGCAGGCUUAACACAUGCAAGUCGAGGGGUAUAGUAGCAAUACUAGAGACCGGCGCACGGGUGCGUAACGCGUAUGCAAUCUACCUUUUACAAAGGGAUAGCCCAGAGAAAUUUGGAUUAAUACCUUAUAGUAUAUUUGAGUGGCAUCAUUUAAAUAUUAAAGAUUUAUCGGUAAAAGAUGAGCAUGCGUCCCAUUAGCUAGUUGGUAUGGUAACGGCAUACCAAGGCGACGAUGGGUAGGGGUCCUGAGAGGGAGAUCCCCCACACUGGUACUGAGACACGGACCAGACUCCUACGGGAGGCAGCAGUGGGGAAUUUUGGACAAUGGGCGCAAGCCUGAUCCAGCCAUGCCGCGUGCGGGAAGAAGGCCUUCGGGUUGUAAACCGCUUUUGUCAGGGAAGAAAUCUUCUGGGUUAAUACCUCGGGAGGAUGACGGUACCUGAAGAAUAAGCACCGGCUAACUACGUGCCAGCAGCCGCGGUAAUACGUAGGGUGCGAGCGUUAAUCGGAAUUACUGGGCGUAAAGCGUGCGCAGGCGGUUAUAUAAGACAGAUGUGAAAUCCCCGGGCUCAACCUGGGAACUGCCUUUGUGACUGCAUUGCUAGAGUACGGUAGAGGGGGAUGGAAUUCCGCGUGUAGCAGUGAAAUGCGUAGAUAUGCGGAGGAACACCGAUGGCGAAGGCAAUCCCCUGGACCUGUACUGACGCUCAUGCACGAAAGCGUGGGGAGCAAACAGGAUUAGAUACCCUGGUAGUCCACGCCGUAAACGAUGUCUACUUGGAGGUUGUGGCUAUAAGCCGUGGCUUCCGAAGCUAACGCAUUAAGUAGACCGCCUGGGGAGUACGGCCGCA
rnacentral:rRNA from 1 species